rnacentral:lncRNA from 1 species
GUUGUUUGUAUUGUGAUUUGUUUAAGUUCACUAACUUAUCAUUUAACACAAGUAAGAUAGUUAAAAUUAAAAGAAACUAAUUCACCCCCCCCCCUCUUGGCUUGUCACCUUGGGCAACAACUACCUAUCAAUCAUCAAUAAAUCUUGAAAAAUUUGGCAUGAUGCAUGCACAAAAUGAUCACUUUUCCUAUAGUGACCUGUCAGGAUUAUCUCAAUACAUACAACACACUACCUGUCAGAGCAGCAAUCACAUAAUUUGUCACAUAAUAAACCUGGACAAUAUAUAGCAAUACAUUAUCACAGGCACACAACUGAUCUGCACACAUAUAUAUACCUGCUUCCCAAUCCAUCCAUGGUCAAACCCAUAUCCACAACAGGAUCUAUGACUGUAACCAUGCACUAUAUACAAUAGAAGGUUUAUAAUACACCAAAAGGUAUAAACCUCCAUCUACAUUAUACUAUACUAUGGAGCGGCACAGCUAGCAGGCAACCACUAAUCCUUCU